rnacentral:rRNA from 1 species
AUUGAACGCUGGCGGCAGGCCUAACACAUGCAAGUCGAACGAGUGGCGGACGGGAGAGUAAUGUCUGGGAAACUGCCUUAUGGAGGGGUAUAACUACGAAAAACGGUAGCUAAUACCGCAUACCCUCGGUAGUGCACAGAUGGGAUUAUCUAGUAUGUGGGGUAAAGGCUCACCUAGGCGACGCUCCCUAGCUGGUCUGAGAGGAUGACCAGCCACACUGGAACUGAGACACGGUCCAGACUCCUACGGGAGGCAGCAGUGGGGAAUAUUGCACAAUGGGCGCAAGCCUGAUGCAGCCAUGCCGCGUGUAUGAAGAAGGCCUUCGGGUUGUAAAGUACUUUCAGCGGGGAGGCGUUACCCGCAGAAGAAGCACCGGCUAACUCCGUGCCAGCAGCCGCGGUAAUAC